UACGAAGGGGGCUAGCGUUGUUCGGAAUUACUGGGCGUAAAGCGUAUGCAGGCGGAUCGUUAAGUCGGGGGUGAAAUCCCGAGGCUCAACCUCGGAACUGCCUUCGAUACUGGCGACCUUCGAGUCCGGGAGAGGUGAGUGGAACUCCGAGUGUAGAGGUGAAAUUCGUAGAUAUCUGGAGGAACACCGGUGGCGAAGGCGACGUCCUGGACCGGUAUUGACGCUGAGGCGCGAAAGCCAGGGGAGCAAACGGG
rnacentral:rRNA from 1 species